CGCUCCUCUUAUGGAGAAGGGGCGUUAGUGUGCGCAGGCAGUCGCGGUAAUUCCCAGCUCCAAUAGCCGUAUAUUAAAGUUGUUGCAGUUAAAAAGCUCGUAGUUGAACUUUGGGCUUGGUCAGCCGGUCCCGCUUUUUUGCGUGUACUGGUCCUGACCGAGCCUUUCCUUCUGGCUAACCUGUCUCUCGGGGCAGGCGAACCAGGACUUUUACUUUGAAAAAAUUAGAGUGUUCAAAGCAGGCCUUUGCUCGAAUAUAUUAGCAUGGAAUAAUAGAAUAGGACGUUUGGUUCUAUUUUGUUGGUUUCUAGGACCAUCGUAAUGAUUAAUAGGGACGGUCGGGGGCAUCAGUAUUCAAUUGUCAGAGGUGAAAUUCUUGGAUUUAUUGAAGACUAACUACUGCGAAAGCAUUUGCCAAGGACGUUUUCAUUAAUCAAGAACGAAAGUUAGGGGAUCGAAGAUGAUCAGAUACCGUCGUUUUCCCU
rnacentral:rRNA from 1 species